GUAUGAAUAAGCAAAUAUAAACAAUAUACAGUUGUGCUCAUGAGCAUACCCUGGUAGAAAUUGUGAAAUUUUGGCACUGAUUUUUAAAAACUGUCUUUUAUUCAAGCAUAGUGAUUAUAUGAAGCCAUUUAUUAUCACAUAGUUGUUUGGCUCCUUUUUAAAUCAUAAUGAUAACAGAAAUCACCCAAAUGGCCCUGAUCAAAAGUUUACAUACCCUUGAAUGUUUGGCCAUGUUACAGACACAAAGGGUGACACACACAUGUGAAAAUGGCAAUUAAAGGUGAAUUGCAAUGUUAAAUAGCAAUUAGUGUCUGUGUAUAAAUAGUCAAUGAGUUUUUUAGCUCUCACAUGGAUGCACUGAGCAGGCUAGAUACUGAACAGAAAAGACCUGUCAAAAGACCUGCGUAACAAGGUAAUGGAACUUUAUAAAGAUGGAAAAGGAUAUAAAAAGAUAUCCAAAGCCUUGCAAAUGCCAGUCAGUACUGUUCAAUCACUUAUUAAGAAGUGGGACAUUCAGGGAUCUCUUGAUACCAAGCCAUGGUGUCACGGUGCGGUGAGGAUCAGUGCCACCGUCCCGUACACCUCCAGUUCCCAUCACUCCACAAACGCAUCCCGGACUUGUCUUCGUGUCACAUGUCUUCAACUAUUCACACCAGGUCCCAGUCAUCUCGUUAGUAUGUGUUUAAAUGUUUCCCCUCUGCUCCCCACAUUUGUCAAUCAUUGUUGUUGCUGUCUGUGUGCUACUUGUAACUGGUGAGUGUUUCGGUUGCUGCGUAAAGAUUCAGCGCCUUUGUUUUCCUUAAGUUUGUUUUGUGUGCUCUGUGUUUGUUUUCUAAUUAAAACCAACUACAUCGAGUAUAUUCGCCUGCGCCUGGUUCCUCCACUACCGUCACCACGUCACACAGGGUCAGGUAGACCAAGAAAUAUUUCAGCUAAAACUGCCAGAAGAAUUGUUCGGGAUACAAAGAAAAACCCACCGAUAACCUCAGGAGAAAUACAGGCUGCUCAGGAAAAAGACGGUGUGGUUGUUUCAAGGAGCACAAAACAAUGUUAUAUGAACAAAAAUAAGCUGCAUGGUGAAUUUGCCAGAAAGAGGCAUUUACUGCGCCAAUGCCACAAAAAAGACUGGUUACAAUAUGCCUGACAGCAUUUUGACGCGCCUCACAGCUUCUGGCACACUGUAAUUUGGAGUGACAAGACCAAAAUAGAGCUUUAUGGUCACAACCUGGUUUCCUUGGUUUGGAGAGGGGAAAACAAGGCCUAUAGUGAACAGACUACAAUCCCCACUGUGAAGCAUGGUGGUGGCUCACUUAUGUUUUGGGGAUAUGUGAGCUCUAAAGGCACAGGGAAUCUUGUAAAAAUGGAUGGCAAGAUGAAUGCAGCAUGUUAUCAGAAAAUACUGGCAGAGAAUCAUCCUUUUUCUGCAUGAAAGCUGCGCAUGGAACAUUCUUAGACUUUCCAGCAUGACAAUGACCCUAAGCACAAGGCCAAGUUGACCCUCCAGUGGUUACAGCAGAAAAAGGUGAAGGUUCUGGAGUGGCCAUCACAGUCUCCUGACCUUAAUAUCAUCGAGCCACUCUGGGGAGAUCUCAAACGUGCGUUUCCUUUAAGACGAUCAAAGACUGCAUGACCUGGAGGCAUUUUGCCAAGACAAAUGGGCAGCUAUACCACCUGCAAGAAUUCGGGGCCUCAUAGACAACUAUUACAAACUACUGCAUGGUGUCAUUGAUGCUAAAGGGGCCAAUACACAUUAAGAACUAAGGGUAUGCAGGGGUCAGUUCAUUUUUUUUUCUUUAUUGCCUUGUUUUGUUUCAUUAUUGUGCCAUUCUGUUAUGACCUACAGUUGAAUCCCAUGAGAAAUUAAAGACAUGUUUUGCCAGCUCACUCACAUUUUCUUUACAAAUUGUACAUAUAUUACCGAUUCUCGAAGGGUAUGCAAACCUGUACUGCUUAGAAUAAUUCUGCUGGUAACAUUGGAUUCUAUUGUUUUCUGUAGUCAGUUACAUGCAUCCCCAACCCUGGACACAGGCUAGGAGGGCAUGACACUUCUGACAUUCAACCAGUGGAAAAACAGAGACAUUUGUGUCCCACAUUGUCUCAUGAUGACAUGUCAUCCCAACAUUGCCGCUGUGGGCUGUUAAUCAGAUGGCAACCCGCUUGAAUCCACGUAUAUGAACAGAAGAGAUUACAUUGGACACAACAGUCGGCCAUUUUAUAAGAUGUGUGCAGUACUUUUACAGGUCCUGUUCGCUGAGUGAGAGUCUAAUUAUGCAGCACAACCGUGUGAUUAUAGUAUAAUCACACAGUCUAACAGGUUGUUCACUUCUGACUGGUCGUUGAUUUUGAAGCAUUUUUAGUUCCGUGCCUACUGAAAACAGCCCAGACUCCUUUGUGAAAAGCAAGACGUACAGAAAAUAACAGACUCCGGUUUAAAAGGAUUCAUCAAAUCAGUUUUAUUUUUCUUUAAGGGGUGUCUGAUUUCACAAGUUCCAACAAAAUAAUUCCUCUCAAAUAAUGCUUAGGUUAUUUAAUUUAUGAGCCCAUUCUCUUUUCAGAUAAGAAAUUCCUCAAGAAGGGCACACUACAAACCAAAACAAUGUAUAUAUGUAUAUAUCAAAUCAGAUAUAUAAAUAUAUAUGAAAGAAAAUCUGAUUAUGUUAUCAAAAAUAACAGGAGGCAGGGAGUGUUGAAGGUUGUGAAGAAGCUGCAUUUAUAGUAAAUGACAAAGCCCAGAGAUAACAUGGAGACAGACUAGUAGGACGACAGUCCCUUUCAGGAUAGAAUACGUUAACAUACACUGUGUAAUGACAGAGAGACAGAGACAGCGGUCUGAAUCCAAAAACAACAAAGCACAGCAAACAAAUUCUAAACUUCAGUAUAGUAUAAAAAUGUAACCAAAUUGUGACAAUUGUAGAGAGAAACACACCAGAAGACCCCUGAAGGAGUGGACACACAUUUUGCCUUAAAAAAAAGAAGAUACAAGUAUGGGGACUCCAUACACAGGAUCCAUACACAGUGCUGUUCUAAUGGGAGAAUGGAGGUAUGCAAUGCAAUGGAUAAAACCUGGCACGUCCUUGUCUGAUAACGCCCCAAGGGUUUGCUUUUGUUUUUGACCUCAGAAGAAAUACAGCCACAACCUGUAAACACUGCCUGCCAGCUCUAGGUGAAUACACCAAGCUUUGAGGGUAUCACAAACAGAUCUCUCCAAGGCACUGGAUACCAAUUUAGAUCACUAUAUCCAGGGCCUGUUUUUUUUUUAUCUUUAAUUUAUCCAUCUGGAUUUUGGCUGCCGGACUGAAUGAAGUGCAUCAGAAUAGAGUAAACACAACAGGAGUCCCCAUUCAAGUCAAUUUGUCUGUUAUAUAUUUUUUUCUAUUUCUAUGCAUGUAGUCCUAUCUGAAAGGCAAACUCCAAUGGAUUGUCCCAAAACUUCUAAUAAAUCUGGACAACACAUAAUUUGCCCCAAGUCCUAAUUCAAUCUAGUGUAAUUGUAAUUUUUUCACGAUUGUUGAUUUACAUUUUUAUCAUGAACGUCAUUGGCCCAGUUAAUGACAUUUUAUUAGCUUUUUGUUUUUACAACUCGAUUUCAGUCUUCAUUUAAAUCCACUGGCUUCCAGUCAGAGAGCCACACCCUUGACCCCCUCCGCCCAGACCCUUGAGAGUCCCUUGAUAAAAGGGACUGGCCCUGUAUGGAUAUGUGUCAAAUCAAAGCAGCGAAAGUCUGUCUUUAGUUAGCCCAAGAUGGUAAGCCCUCACUGAGGUAUGAGUGGUGGACAUCCCCCCCAAAGAGGACCAGGCUGGAGGAAGGACAAAGAUGACAACGUGAGAUGGGAUGGAUGACAAGGGUCACAUACCCAGGGAAUGGGAGGAGAUCUACAGUUGAUUUGUGCUACAACGGUGACUAGAUUAAGAUUAACAGCUAUUUCUUGUCAAGGAUUCUAUGAUUUACAUGGUUGACUAAAGUGCCUGACAAUCUUUGGUCUACCAACCCUACAGGUUGCAAUACCGCAAGCCAUGUCAGAAUGCAUUUGGAAGAAAGCAAAGAAGAAAAUCAAAAACAGCAAAAGCAGAAAAACAGCACACCAUUCCAGGUAUUUUCAUAUCUCAAAAUUCAUUGUUUUCAUAACUCUUUUUUUCACUCACAGUCUCACCAUUUUAAAAUAAAUCUCUAAGUUAUACAGAUAUAAUGUUAAGAUCUUCACCAAACCCUGAGCAAAGAGAGAAACCUCUGAGGCCAAACAAGACUUCAUUACAGAAAAUAAAAACGUCAUCUUUCCGGUAUGAGAACUGAUGUAAAAAUGAUUUUUCUGGAUAUGUUUUAAACAUGCUAACCCUUAAACCCUGUGAACAAGAAAAUUCAGGCUCUGGAUUGGAUGUUAGGUCAGGGCAGGGUAAGUGUCAGUGUAUCAGAAUACUUGUUCUAUAAUGUGACUCGUUACACAAGUAAACAUUUCAAAUUCCUAUAGCCGUGAGUCUCUCUCACCGUAUCAGGCCACACAACAUCUGUCAAGGGCUUAAAUGUCAAAUCAAUAAAAUAAAAACAGAACAUUUUUAAGAUCAGUGAAAAACAUCUCUAAAAUGUUAAAGUCACCAGUGUGCUAAACUGAACAUUUUUACAGUGGGCUAUCAGAAAGUAUUUGGGUACCGGGUAAAAAAAAUAAAAAUAAAAGUAUAAUGAAAAGGUCAACAAAACAAAUGUGUUUUUGCCACAGCCUUUGUUUGUUUGGUUGACCAUUGCUUUUCUAUUAAAUCUGGCGCACAGUAAGUUUGAGUGUAUGUGUAUUCUAUUUGGACUGUUAAAGUUAACAGGUAAAAUAAUGCAUUAGCGCAAGCAAAACAAAAUGUAUAUCGCUUAAACAUCCACUAUGGGCACAGCCUUGAGCAACAUUUUUCCAAGGUGUUGGUUUAGAAAACAAACAAAAACACAAGUUGUAGCCAACAGAAGCUAACAACUUAUGUUAAAGUUAGGUGGCUAACCAAAAUAACCUUUACAAUGCAUCUUGAUUCUCCUCUAACUUCAAGCAAUUAUUUUAAAUCAGAACAGGACAACCAUUCCAUUUAAAAUGUUUGCUGUAAUUGUCCGGUAGAAAAUGUUAAGCAAAUUAUCCUAACCCCAAAGACAUCAAUAUAACAACAUGUAGAAUUUUGACCAUUGUUCUAAUUCUAGACUUAAAUAUUACACGUGUAAUGUUAUUGGGAAGCUAACAUAGCUGCCAUAGAAUGUUUUACUGUUAUGUAAAUGCAUCUUAACACAGAUACUGCAUUGGCAAACUGCUUUACAUCUAUGUGACAAAUUCUUUAAACAUUAAACCUGGCUCCUUUGAUGAUGGCAAUUCCUCCAGGCCCGGAGACAGCAAAGAAUCCCACUAACACUGUUACAACUUGACAUCUGUGCCAAAGACGUGGUGUUGAAAUAGUUGUAACACACCACCAGGCCGUGUCUUACUACGGAAUAAGGUUUUUGGUUUCCGCCAGACCAAAUGUCAACCACGUUGUUCGAAACGUUCACAAAGAUUGUAAUAAUUCACCUGGAAGCACCUGUCAAGAGUUCUUAAUGAUCUAUGGACUGAUGAUUCAAAGGGGGUUUUAAAAAAAUCAUAUGUUUAGUCCUGUUAUACCAUUCAAAAACCAAACCAAAAACCACAAUAAGAAUGUUACAUCAACAGUCCAACUUGGUGGUGGCUGCAGUGUGAUGAUUCGGUUUUAAUGCCCACAAACUUAUUCAACAUAAACAAAAAACUAAAUCAGGACACGGUCCUAAAGUCAAAAUGUUGCCCUUCCCUGAUUUGGUGAAAGAGGUAAAGAGCGGUGAGACGGCACAGCUCAAUCCAUCUGUAUCAAUGUGCCUCUUCUCGUUUCUUUUGUCUGUCCGUCUGAGGGCCAGACUCACCAUCAGCCCAGUGACACGCCUGAAGGCCAGACUCACCAUCAGCCCAGUGACACGCCUGAAGGCCAUACUCACCAUCAGCCCAGUGACACGCCUCGAAGGCCAGACUCACCAUCAGCCCAGUGACACGCCUGAAGGCCAGACUCACCAUCAGCCCAGUGACACGCCUGAAGGCCAGACUCACCAUCAGCCCAGUGACACGCCUGAAGGCCAGACUCACCAUCAGCCCAGUGACACGCCUGAAGGCCAGACUCACCAUCAGCCCAGUGACAGGCCUGAAGGCCAGACUCACAAUCAGCCCAGUGACACGCCUGAAGGCCAGACUCACCAUCAGCCCAGUGACACGCCUGAAGGCCAAACUCACCAUCAGCCCAGUGACACGGGUGAAGGCCCAGAAUCACCAUUUGUACACGAGGAUUCAAUCUGAAAUGGCACUCCAUCACAGCCUUGGAGUCUGGGCCAAACCAUUCCAACAGUCCUAUCAUUUAGAAGCAGCAGUGAUCAGCUUCCCAACUGUACCCCAGAAUUCUUUGCUCUCCUACUCAAGCACUUACAGAACAAGCUGUCGGUCAGCCAAAACUACAGAGCACUUAACAUUUUCACAGAGCUGCCCCCCCUAUGAAAAGCCAUUAGCCCAGUUUGGCGCUGGACGUGAGGAGAGCAGAGGCGUGCCAAUGCAACCUAACAAUCAGACAAAACAUCUCAGGAUAGGGCAACACUGACAUUACUGACACCAAUGUGCAGAGAUCAGGGGUCUGUGCAUAGAUCAACAGUGCUGGGUGUGCCAAAUAUAACGCAUCCUGACUAGGGCCUUAUUAAGACUUCAACACGUUUACCUAAAAUCGUUAGGAUUUACUGAAACUAAAAUGUAGUCUGUGAAGGUAGGUUUUAAGCAAACAUGUAGCCCCCCGCCACAAACACACCUCCAUUCUCAAAGGGUUCCAAUAGGCCAAGGGCAGCCUUCUUAAAUCUGGUCAGAGUUAAAACUAUAAUAAUCCGCUGAUGAGUGUGUGUGUGUGAGAGAGAGAUAUAAAUGUAAAUCUCAAGUGAAGUUUGAUGGCUUCAGAUGCUUUCAAAGUGCUAACUGACUCUACAGAUGUUUGCUAUCAUCAAGGUUGUCAUCAUAAAAAACUAGAGUUCACAUGGUAAUGAAUUCUCUAAAAACAUACUUAGUUAUUAUUCUGUAUUUACAGCCCUAUGAUUGGUGCUCCAUGCUAGCAGCGCUUAAUGCCAAAAAAAGGCAUCCGUUCCUCAUUGUCACUAUGAACAAAUGCCAUGGAUGGGCACUCUGGCUAAAAUCACCAGCACUUCAAUUUACCAGUAAAUUAGUAAUAAUUAUCUACACAUUAAAAUAAUUUAAUUUAUACAGAAUUAUUGCCCUCAUAGUUGAAGGCUAGUACUAUUUCGAAGACACCAUAAAACUAUGGGAACGUACUCGAGGCCAUAUGGGUUUUGUGGCCAAUAUGUUUAAUAUAUCUAAAAACUGUGCAUUGUAUGAUGGGCUGUUUCCACCCAAGUUGGGGGAAAACUCAAGUCAUCCCCACAACUGGCAAACACGAGGGAACAUAGAAUAUAUUGAGUGUUGCCACCACCAAGCCUCGAUCCUUCUACUGGAAAAUGUUCUGUUUGAAAACAGAGUAUAUUGUUGGAGCAGGGCCGCAUGCAGUUGUGUAGUCAUCCUGCUCCGGCGUCAUGCUGGGAACUUCACCCAUUGUUUUCAUAUCUAAACAUCAUGUUCAUCUCUGCUACAUGGGCUUUUACAUUGUCCUCGCUGUUUUUAACCCAACCCAUUUUAUUGCUCUAACUGGCGCCUCGCAGGCGGUCCCUGGUGGGCACCACGUGACCAUAAAGGGGUGCCCAGUGGGCCACCCCCACUUCCUCCCCUGACUGCUAAUGCCAGAGGGCUGCAUUGACCUAAAUGAGACACCCUCCAGACUCCUUCUGCUGGAGGGCAGCACUGACCUAAAACAAGUAGCCCCCCACACCACAAACUUGACCUUGAGUGACAGUAAUGUCUGCCCUCAUUAAAAGCAGCUUCAGCUGUCACUGUGGCAACCAAGCCAAAGCGGUUACUAACCCACCAAUCCAGUUCCUUCUAAUGCCAUUGCAUCGCUCCCAGUGAAGUCCUGUGUGUGUAAACAUACAGACUAAGCUUUUGCUAAGAUGCUCCCUUGAAGCAGGGAGGACAGAGCGAAUAAUAUACAGAGGCUCCUCCCACAUUGCUGGUGAGUAGUGGAGCUUGUGAUGCCACGGGCCAUGAGUGACACUGAGGGGUGGAGCUUAGACACUUACUGUAAACGGACAUGGCAGGGCAGCAGUGCCGCACACAGAACUCUGUUGGGCCGUAAAAGACAAACCAGGAAGACAGGAUUGGCCGGCGGCGGUAGCCACAGAGACAACAAAUGAGAAGACGGGACAAUGGAGUUUGGACUAAGGUGGGUAAAGGGAGGGGGGGGGAGUCCCACAAUCAAAUCACAUUAAAUGGGUUUUUGUGUAGCAUUGCUGGUGCAAAGAGCUUGUUGCAUUUCUCAUGUAAUCUCUCCUUCAAAUUUGACCGAGGCAUCACCACACCUACUGCACAGUUGCUUUUGGACACCCCACCCUAGUCCUCCACCCCUUGUCCCACCAUCCAGCCUUGUCCCACUGGGUUUGUAUUCCUCCAUCACAGUCCAGUCUAAAGAUGGGGCCUGGGCUGGGUGGACAAAGGCUUCAGAAAAUGGGAAUGGUCAGAAAAUGACACAAAUAAAAUCAUAAUCAACAACAAAUAGAACAAAUCAACCAGUUUUACAGACAUAUUUGUCUAUACUGUAACAGGUCUUCCAAUCAGCAGAAAUACUAGUGAGGGGGGGGGCAUGACCAGGUGACUGUCACAGAACUGGACAGGUCACAUGAACAAAUACGGAGUGCUCACAUCAAGUGUCUUGGUGUGAAAUGUAAAUGUGUUUUUCUGCACAUCCCAAGCGCCCCGCAACCAAGCCCCCCCC
ensembl:lncRNA